rnacentral:rRNA from 1 species
GACGAACCGUGCAAACGUUAUUCGGAAUCACUGGGCGUAAAGCGCACGUAGGCGGAUCUUUAAGUCAGGGGUGAAAUCCCAAGGCUCAACCUUGGAACUGCCUUUGAUACUGGGGAUCUCGAGUCCGGAAGAGGUGAGUGGAACUGCGAGUGUAGAGGUGAAAUUCGUAGAUAUUCGCAAGAACACCAGUGGCGAAGGCGGCUCACUGGUCCGGUACUGACGCUGAGGUGCGAAAGCGUGGGGAGCAAACAGG